rnacentral:rRNA from 1 species
GUCUAUAGCCAUGCUACCCUGAACAAGAUCAUAUCCUGUCUGAUCUCGGAAGCUAAGCAGGGUCGGGCCUGGUUAGUACUUGGAUGGGAGACCACCUAGGAAGACCAGAAGCCGUAGGGG